UCGGGCCUGGGCCCCAGCGGAGGGGUUCAGCAAGCCCACGGCUUUGCCCCGAUCGGCACUGACGGGACACAGGAGCCGUUUGCUGAAGCUCAAAGGCCGCCCCUUCCCGGACCAGGAUGGCUCCGUGGCUAAGGCCCACCCUGGCUACGGAAGGGGGAGAGAGGUCGGCUCAGGCCUGACCAACCGUUCUCAGCCACCCGGAGAUCAGCCACGCUCCCAUCGGGAAAUGAGUGUGGGGGGAGCAGGCCCCCCGCUCACUGCCUGCCUCCCCUCCCACUCCUCUGCUGCCGCUUUUCCCUGUGCCCCCUCCCCCGUGGCCCUAGCCCCCUAGCUGCACUUCAUCUAGGGCCUCAGCCUGGCAGCGAUAGCCAGAAACGCCUGCUCUGCUGGCCUGCCCCACUCUGCACCAGCCACGGUGCUCCCUAGCAGGCCAGGGAGAAACGCAGCAUUGCUGAGCAGCCUGGCUUAUAUAGCCCCCCACCACCAGCCCUGAUUGGCUGCCCUAACAAGCUUCCCCCCAUUGGCUGUUUCACUAAGCUCUCUCCCCACUGGUUGGGGCUUCUGCACAGCUUCUCAGGCUGGUUUUUUAAUCAUUACCUGUGUGGCACCCCCCCCACAGCCCACCCGCCAAUGCCUUGUGAGGUAUCAUUUGAACCGGCCUGAGCUGGUGGAGUUCGUUGUUCUGUUUCACUGGGCGCGUGCAGGUGUCCGUGCAGGUGUGAGAUUGUGCUUGGGUUUGUUACAGACACGUGCUGAGUCUGGGGGCACCCCAAGGAGCAGUCGACACCCAGCCAGGGGGCAGUGACCGUCACCCGCUAUUCUCCAGCAGGGAGCUGCGACGGGCGCCGUGCGCGAGCACAGGGCUUUGGCAAGCGCCGGCAGGGCGACGUAUGACCAUUCCUCGGGCUCCGCAGCAGCAGGACUCCUCCGCCCGCCUCCCUGGCUUAGAGGUGUAUGAACCACACAAGCUGCAGCCCUCGGCGUGCCCCCCGGGCCCAGCACUAGGCGUUUAUUGAAGAACUCUGACACCGGAGAGACGGCGCGUUACAAUUUCUGGCACACACACGAUCUGCUGCCCUUCCCUGCCGUGAGCAGUGUGACUAGCUGGGAAAUCCCCUGCUCCGCAGAGCACACUGGGUGCGCGGCGGAUGGGACAGUCCAGCCUCAGGGUGAGAAUUGCUUUCUAGAACGCGUGGCUCCCCCCCUGGAAGGGCGUGGGGCUCAUUCUGCUGAGGGUGGUGGGGUGGGGGACUCCAGCGUCCCCUCUCAUUCCACACCGGCCCAGAGGCUGCCGGGCGCCAGGAGGG